GGUGAGAAUGGCUAAAUUUAACAACGAACGUUGGCAAGGAUGUGGAGAAAGGGGAACCUUCCGGCCCUGCUGAUGGGAAGGAAACUGGAGCAGCCACUCUGGAAAACAGUGCGAGGGUCCUCAGGCAGCUUAAAAUAGAGUUUGCUAUACAAACUCUACUUAUCUAACACUUUGUGAUACAAAGUGUCUCCUCUCAAAUACCACCCUUGUCUCCCCAGAUGCACCUCAGUCUACAGAGCAGAAGUUGGUUGCUGUGCAGCUGCAUUCACUUUGAAAGCUUUAUGAGGAUGCCCGUUGCCAUGGUGACGGGAAACACCUCUGACUUUCUUCCCACCUGUCACUCUUUGAGCUGAGUGAGUGAGAAGUGAGUAGGUGCUCAGCUCUCUACCUGGCGUCGUGACAAUGGGCAAUCUCAAUUCUUUACUCUGCGAUGGAUCUGCUAUGGAAACAACACAACCAGAACCUAGCAGAAAACCUGGGGACACCUGCCCAGGAAUGCAGAUUAGACUAUUAAACAUCUGCUGCAGCUUACAAGUAGAACUAUCACUCGAACCAUCAAAAGGAUCUGCUGUGAACAUAACACAACCAGAACCCAGAGGACAACCUGGGGACACCUGCCCUGCAACACAAACAAAAAUUCUUCCCAUCUUCCGUUACAGAAAAGUUCAGCCAACGGAUCAGAGCCCAGAGGGAUCUGCGGUGGAAACAAAUAAACAAAAAUUGAGUGGACAACCUGGAGACACCUGCCCUGAAAAACGGCUGAAAAUAUUCACAAUAUACCGCAGCAAGGAACUUGACUCAUCAUCAGAUAUCCGAGAGGGAGCUGUGGUGGAAACAAAUAAACAAAAAUUGAGUGGACAACCUGGAGACACCAGCCCUGAAAAACGGCUGAAAAUAUUCACAAUAUACCGCAGCAAGGAACUUGACUCAUCAUCAGAUAUCCGAGAGGGAUCUGCUGUGAAAAUAACACCACCAGAACGCAGCAGACAACCUGGGGACACCUGCCCUGCAACACGAACAAAAAUUUUUCCCAUCUUCCAUAAUGGAAAAGUUCAGCCAACGGAUCAGAGCCCAGAGGGCUCUUCUAACAACGAAAUGUCAACUGCUCUACCAAUGUCUAUUAAUGUCCUUGGAUCUGUUGUGGAAACAACACGAGAAACAUGUGGACAAGUUUUCGACACCUAUCCUGUAAAACAAUCGAAAUUAUUGAACAUCUUCCGUCGUAGAAAAUUUCAAGAACCAUAGGAGAUAUCAGAAGGAAACCAGAUGGAACAUCAUGUUUGAGACCAUGGUGCCCAAAGGAAGUGAAAGGAUACCUGGAGGAAGUUGUUUGUCCUGAAGGAUGUGUCUCUCCAGUCCAUUCAGGAUGGUGACUACAACAUUCCCCAGCCAAGCAGGAGACACCGUUGAUGAGGGAAAGUACCCCAUCACUGUCUUUAUAAGCAGCUUUGGUGUCGCCAAUGGUAAACAUCCUCUCAGAUAAGCUAAUGCAUGGCAAGAGGCAAGCACUCAGCACCCUUGCCACCAGGAAGAUUAUGUAUUUCAUCCCAAAUGGACGCUGUCUGAUGUUCAUCAGAAUUUGUGUGGAAAGCAACCGAGAAAGCAACAUUCGUUCCUCAAAGAUACUGAGCUCACCUUGACAGCAUUAACUUGCACUUCUCCUCUGAUGUUCUGGAAUACUCUCAUGAUGAAG
rnacentral:lncRNA from 1 species